AUACGUAGGGGGCGAGCGUUGUCCGGAAUGAUUGGGCGUAAAGGGCGCGUAGGCGGCCCGGUAAUUCUGGAGUGAAAGUCCUGUUUUUAAGAUGGGAAUUGCUUUGGAUACUGUCGGGCUUGAGUGCAGGAGAGGUAAGGUGAAUUCCCAGAGUAGUGGUGAAAGGCGUAGAGAUUGGGAGGAACACCAGUGGCGAAGGCGGCUUACUGGACUGUAACUGACGCUGAGGCGCGAAAGUGUGGGGAGCAAACAGGAUUAGAUACCCUGGUAGUCCACACUGUAAACGAUGAAUGCUAGGUGUAGGGGGUAUCGACCCCUUCUGUGCCGCAGUCAACACAAUAAGCAUUCCGCCUGGGGAGUACGGCCGCAAGGUUGAAACUCAAAGGAAUUGACGGGG
rnacentral:rRNA from 1 species